rnacentral:rRNA from 1 species
GCUUCCUACGGGACGCAGCAGUGGGGGAUAUUGCACAAUGGGGGGAACCCUGAUGCAGCGACGCCGCGUGGGUGAAGUAGCGCCUCGGCGCGUAAAGCCCUGUCAGCAGGGAAGAAAAUGACGGUACCUGAAGAAGGAGCCCCGGCUAACUACGUGCCAGCAGCCGCGGUAAUACGUAGGGGGCAAGCGGUAUCCGGAUUUACUGGGUGUAAAGGGGGCGCAGACGGCGAUGCAAGCCAGGAGUGAAAGCCCGGGGCCCAACCCCGGGACUGCUCGUGGAACUGCGUGGCUGGAGUGCAGGAGGG